ACGCUGGCGGCGUGCCUAAUACAUGCAAGUUGAGCGCUGAAGGUUGGUACUUGUACCAACUGGAUGAGCAGCGAACGGGUGAGUAACGCGUGGGGAAUCUGCCUUUGAGCGGGGGACAACAUUUGGAAACGAAUGCUAAUACCGCAUAAAAACUUUAAACACAAGUUUUAAGUUUGAAAGAUGCAAUUGCAUCACUCAAAGAUGAUCCCGCGUUGUAUUAGCUAGUUGGUGAGGUAAAGGCUCACCAAGGCGAUGAUACAUAGCCGACCUGAGAGGGUGAUCGGCCACAUUGGGACUGAGACACGGCCCAAACUCCUACGGGAGGCAGCAGUAGGGAAUCUUCGGCAAUGGACGAAAGUCUGACCGAGCAACGCCGCGUGAGUGAAGAAGGUUUUCGGAUCGUAAAACUCUGUUGGUAGAGAAGAACGUUGGUGAGAGUGGAAAGCUCAUCAAGUGACGGUAACUACCCAGAAAGGGACGGCUAACUACGUGCCAGCAGCCGCGGUAAUACGUAGGUCCCGAGCGUUGUCCGGAUUUAUUGGGCGUAAAGCGAGCGCAGGUGGUUUAUUAAGUCUGGUGUAAAAGGCAGUGGCUCAACCAUUGUAUGCAUUGGAAACUGGUAGACUUGAGUGCAGGAGAGGAGAGUGGAAUUCCAUGUGUAGCGGUGAAAUGCGUAGAUAUAUGGAGGAACACCGGUGGCGAAAGCGGCUCUCUGGCCUGUAACUGACACCGAGGCUCGAAAGCGUGGGGAGCAAAC
rnacentral:rRNA from 1 species